GGAAGACCCUGCACGAAACCACUGGUACGAUUAUAUCUUUCCUCAAAUUUCGAUUCCCAGAUGGUUCAAUUAUCAACAAAAUUCUGUGUCCGACCUAAGAAUGCAGCCGCCUCCAAAUUUGCAUAACAAUACGAGAUGGAUGGGAUUCUCUGUAUAUGCUUUGUAUACUGUCGACAAGCAACCAGCUCAGGAUUCAACAAUUUUUUUAAAUUUUUCUGGUCUUUUGGCUUCUGGUCAAGCCCCUUACCGGGCCUUUCCGCUGUCUAGAGACAUUUUUUUUGGGUCACGUCGGCUUUUGGUAUUUUAUAUACCACGCCUGCUAUUUGGGUUGAAUCAGUGUAGUGAGAUUUGGGCUUCAUUCCAAAGCAAUAACCCACGUGUAGUGAAGUUUGAAAUGUGUGGAAUCCGUAUUGUAUGCGACCAAGAUAUUGAAGAGUUUGUGGAAACAUUAGUCCAGUGCAUGUUAGAGUGCCCGAAUGAGUAUCAUCAAUCUUAUCACUUGAAUCUUUUAGCUCAAGUUACAGAAUUGCGAGGCUGCGACCAUGGAACGGAUUUUAGUUGCUCUUUCACAUUGCAAAGGGGGCCUCAAGCCAUGCCUAAGCUUCUACCGAGUAUUGAAAAUGUAGCAGAGGGGGGUUGUGCUUCACCAGAAUCAUUUUCAAAUCAAGCUGGCACUUCUACAGUUUUAGGCAUACCGUUACGGGAUUAUCAAUCUGGAAGUACUUCGUCAAUACGCGUCCUUGAAGAUCAGUUCAAAUUGAACUUGGAGCGCACCCACAUCAACCACAUCAACCACAACGUAUUCAAUAUUUGCUUCCCUCAAAGUGAAAUCCCAGAGUGGUUCAUGCAUCAGAGUGGCAGGGCGCCCUCAGUGAAAAUUAUUCUACCUCCAAAUUUGUAUUAUGAUCCUGAAUGGAUGGGAUUUGCUCUAUGUUGUGUUUUCUCAUUUCACAAGCAUCCAAGUGCCAUAAAUUUGGAUUCGGGAUUUCAUCAUCGCUUCAUGUGUCAUGUGGAAACCGACCUUGGUUGUGUGAGUCCGUUAUUUGAGUCUAGCAUCAGUGAAGCCCAAGUACAAAAUCACCAACGUUCAUUCAUUUGGGUGUUGUUCCAACCACGUUGGUUGCUUUCAGAGCAGUGGAGUGAAGUCACUUGGAUUGGCUUCUCGUUUAUGAGUAUAAGUGAACAUGUCUCGGCGGUCAAGUGUGGGGUUAGUCUUGUAUACCAGGAAAAUAUGGAAGAGUUUACUUGUACAUAUGUACAACUCAUGGCCUCCUUUGUUGCCUUUGCCAAGGACAUCCAAAGCCGUAGGUCUCUCCCUCCCCCUGGGGGUCCGGAGCAAAUGCAGUAUGAGCACCCACACUCUCACAAAACGGGCCCACUGGACUUUCAUCCCUCCUUUUCUUAUAAUUACUGCUUCCCUCCAAGUAACGUAACCCAGGAGUGGUUCGGUCAUCAGAGUCGCGGGCACUCGGUGACAAUUGACAUACCAUCAAAUUUGUACAAUGACAACAAUUGGAAGGGAUUCGCUCUGUGCGCUUCUUUUUCAAUAGACGGGGAUCCAGAAACCAUCAUUGACAAUUGGGUUUCAGAAACUCUCCACUUCCUAAAUUGUCAAUUCAGAACCGGUGUAGCUGGUUUGGAUGAUAAGGACUUUGGUUGUGGCACCUCGAGAAUAGAAAUCUUGAUGUUAAUUUGUCUAGGCCAAUUCAUUUGGAUAUCCUACGUACCGGGUGAGCCAUUUAAGUAUAUGUUGCGCCAGUGCAGCAGCAUUGAAGCUUCGUUUGAAAGUGAUUGGUGGCCAUGUGUGACGGUGCAAACAUGUGGGUUUCGUCUUUUGUUCCAACAUGAUCAGGUAGAAUUUGAGCAAAAACUAAAACACUGCAAGGCCUUGAUUGAUCAACUUGCCAAUUCUAUUUCGCAAUAUGCGGGUGGUGAUCAUGAAAAAAUAAAUGAGCAAAAUCCAAAUGAUAUUGAGGUAGGAAGCAUACUUACAAAGGACUUCUUAACUCAAAUAUGUAAAAGACCUAUUGAGCAAGCGGAGACUGAUGAUCAACUCGGCAAAAGAGACUUACUGGACUUUGAUGGAUGCUCUGAAUUCAAUUUGUGUUUCCCUCCAAGAGAAAUCCUUCAUUGGUUCAGCCACCGUAGUAAUGAGCCGUCGGUGAAAAUUGACGUACCCACAAAUUUGUACGAUGACAGUGGUUGGAUGGGACUUUUUCUUUGUGCUUAUUUUUCAGUCCAUGAGGAUCAAACUGCCAUCCCUGAGAAGCCCGAUUCGGCAAUUUCUCCCCAACUUAUUUGUCAUUUGGAAAGCAACAAUGUAGCUGGCCCAGAGCAAGGAGUACUCCAUGUCCACGCCACCACUAAAGCAGAAUUUAGGUGGUUAUAUAUACAAGAUGAAUUUCUUUGGCUGUCAUAUAUUCCACAUGGGUCAUUACCGGAUUGGUUGAAUCAAUCCAGUUUCCUGAAGGCUUCAUUCUUAAGCGACUGGCCAGGUUUAAUGGCUCAGAAAUGUGGGCUUCGUUUCUUCCACGUGCAUGAUGAGGAGGAGUUUGAGAAAAUAAUAUUCCGUGCCGGCUUGGUUUCUGAAGUUGUGGAUCUCGUCCGUCAACCAGUGGCUAAAGGCGAAAGUACUAGAGCUAAGAAUCAACGCUAACAGAGCAACCUGCCGGUAAUUAAGAAACUAUGAGUAUUUGAUUAGCCAUGUUAAAGAUCCAAUCAUCUCAAUGAAAAUCUUACAAGCCACAAAGGACUUUGAUCCAUGCUUCAACUAUUGUUUUCUUCCAAAUGAAAUUAUGGACCUGUUCAGCCAUCGGAGUGAUGAGCCCCAAGUGACAAUCCGUAUACCCCCGAAUUUGUACGAUGAUCCUACUUGGAUGGGAGUUGGUCUCUGUGUUUUAUUUUCAGUCCGGGAGCGUUGUACUAUUGCUGGCAACCUUACUUGUCGGUUGGAAACCGAUAUUGGUAGUCUGGAAAAUCUCCAUACGUAUUGCCUCACUAAAGAAGAUCUCAUGUUGUUAGUGCAAGGUGGAUUCAUUUGGACGAGUUAUAUACCUCGUUGGUCGUUUCCAAACUGGUUGAAUCAGAGCAGUUUCAUCAAGGCUUCAAUUAUGAACCUAUUGCAGAAGUGCGUUUUCCUUCUUUUAUUCUAGACUAGGCUUGACCGUGCAAAAGUGUGAGUUCCGUCUUUUGUACCUGAACGAAGAGACAACAUCUUUAAGCCAAACCAGAAAGGACAAAGCAGCUGAGCCCAGUGCAGCCAGCAGUUCUGAUGAUCCUAGGCUUCAAGACAAGGGCAAAAGAAUCUCAGAAUAACCUCUCCUCUGCUUGGCCUGCUGCUUCUGUUUCUUUAGGUUGACUUGUAAGUCAUCUAUUCCUCUAGUUUCUAUCAUAAGUUUAUUAAAAUAAACUCGUCAUUUUUACUGUCUAAAUAGUAAAUACAUCAGAAACUGAAUCAAAUCAACAAUAUAUUCUUCCAAAAAUAUA